UUAAAGACCCGGGCAUUUCCUGCAGGUGAAGGAGAUUUCCUGGGCCUCCACACAGGUGCGUGGCGCCAUCUUGGUUGUGAUAGCAACACUAUGGACUAAGUUGAAUUAUCACUUAAAAUCCAGUGAGUUGACAUUGUUGGUGCCACUCCCUGCUGGGGCUGCUGGCUUCCUGCCGGCCCCUCCCCUCUCAUCUUGGGAUAAUCACACUUAUUUCCUCUUAUCAGCCACAUCCUCUCGGAUCUUACCUAACCCACUUCAGAUCCACCCACACCCUUGCCUAUCCCUAAUAUAAAGUCACUUCAUUUCAAAAAUAGUGAAACUAGGACAUCUUCACCAUUUUCCCUGACUGUUGCUCAGUUGCCUUUAAGUUUCAGAAAAGAUGGCGUAUUCUUUUUUCCCAAUCCCCACGUGAUAAUUGUGCAUGUUUGUGGGCACAGUGUGAUGUUUCACUACGUGUACAUGGUGUGUAGUGAUCAAUCAGGAUAAUUAGCAUAUCCAGUUUCUUGAUGUCGGUAAAACAAGUUCCUCUCUUUGGUUAUUUUGAAACACACUGUUAUUGGGAAUGAGAGGGAACCGGAUGUGUCAACUGCCCCCCACACAGAUGGAGGGCGCAUAGGUGGCCCCCAGGCGUGGGGCAGUACUGGGUAGACAUGGUGGCUGGGCUGCCCAGGAAGGUUGGGAUCAGCUGGGAGCUGGGAGGGGUGUCCACUAAGCCAUGUCCAGCUGACCCACUUCUUGUGCUUCGGGUUAUCCUGAGGUCCUGCCAUGGGAUCAGCAUCUACUCUUUCUUUGUGAAUUUUGCACAGACUUUGCAUUCUGGUGUAAUCAGUCUUUCUAUUUUGGUUUUACUACCAAAUGGCUUUCAUUACUGAAAUGUUAAUUUUUUUAAUCAUUUUAACAUCUGUUGUACAAGUUCUCAUUAUUCCUAUUCCAAGCUUUCCUGGCUGUUCUUGUGUAUUUAAUUGUGUGGAGAAGCUCAAAGCCCAUCUUGCAAAUCUUUUCUUUUUCCUUCCAAAAGGAAAAAAAAAAUCUUGUGAAUUUUACUGUGAGGAUGCUGACUUUUUAAAAUUAUUUAGGAGAAGUCGGCCUUACUAUCUAGAGAGAAUAGUUGAUCUCUGUGUAUUCAACUAUAUACAGUCCUCAGUAAAGUCACCUGGGUUUCUCGUGGGUCUGGCAGAGUUUUGUUAAUUUAUUUCCAGCCCUUUUAUGGUUCUGAACAGAAUUGCUAUUAUGUUUUUUUCCAGUGGCUACUUUCUGAUGUGUAGGAAGGCUAUUAACGUUUUGCUUAUUUCUUUUAGAACAAGUCUUCUUCCUGAACUGUCUCUUUUUUCUUUUCUUUUUAUCACAUUCUGGAAGUUUCUUUUAUUCCCUAUUUAUUAAGCUCCUUUCUCCUUCUCUUUUUCCUAAUCAGAAAAGGAUGUUGGGCAUGGCCAGAAGACUUUCUAGCAACAUUGGAAUCAUAUUUUCCUUUUGGUCUAGUGUUAUGAUGUAUUAUACAAAUGAUAAGUCAUAGAACUGUUCUGAAUAUUUAGUCAUCUUUCAACCCUGUGGUCACGGCAUAUUAUUCUUUUAACAUACUUCUGGGUUUCGUUAUGCACAAGGCUCUCUGAAUUCUACGUGUCUGUUAUCUGUUAGGGACAUUUCCAGGCUCAGUGGAUUUCUAAGAAUUUGGCCUUCUGUGGGGUUUUCGCUUCCUCUUCCUGCCCUGCUCAGCUGGUCUCAGCAGUUGACUUUGGUCAUCUCUGCUCACCUCCAGCCAACAGAAGGGUUACCAGGGGCAGGACGCUCAAGGUCACAGGCGCCAUGGGACAUGUGGCAUUGAAGGGAAAAUGGCAGGCUGGGGUCAGCGGUUGGCGGGGAGACAGGAACCAUCCGUCAGGUGCUGAGACCCUGGGCGUGGCUGGUCCCUAGGCCACUCUUACACGUGUGUGGCCCUGGGGUGUGGUGUGCGCGUGCUGGCACCAGAAAGCCCUUCUCUGUGAGUACCCUUUGUCCUCUACAGGUAUGACAGUAACAGCUAAACAAUAUAUAAAUUACUUGAGCAAAGCAGUGCCCAACUAUCAGCCACCCCAGGGGGACCCUGUUCUAUGUGGUUCCAGCUGGAACUGACUGGGGGCUGUGGAAGCUGCCUUCAUACCGGGAAGGUGGACCUCAGUGUCUAGGCCAGCUUCCGCAAGGCCAACUAGGGCCCGUGGGGUUCGAGCAGAGACGCUCUUGGGAUU
rnacentral:lncRNA from 1 species